GCCCUGUUUGAGCAUCAUGAAUAUUAAUGACUUUUUAUUCAUUUUUUAAAACAUCCUGCAGAACUUCAAACACAAGCCAGACCCACAUUACAUAAAAUUAUGUUGCCAAUAGGCAAAGAUAUCAGGGGGAAAAAAGUGUGUUUUGAAGCAAUUGUGUGGAAUAACAUCAUGAUGGUUGAAAUGAUUAAAUCUCAGAAACCUCAGACUGAUGCUGUCCAGUGUUUGUACAUUUGAAGAUCUCAGAAAUUCCAGAACUUACACAACUUGCCACAAGACGGUGUGAGGUUUUGUAUACUUAGCAGUUAUGGAACAUUAUAAUUGACGAAAUUAUCAUGCAUAAAAUUUCCUCCAUGGCAACAUGCUUGAAAGCGAUUACACUUUUGAGUUUUCCUUUGGUUGCAGUCAACAUGAAAUCAAAAAUAUUCCCCAUUUACACUAUUUUUAGGCCAACUUCUCAUUUUAUUGUUUUCCAUAUCAAUUCCGAAUUAAUAAAAUCCAGUCUCAUUCUACACUGUUUUCUUAUUGAACAUCCUGUUUAUGUCAGAAAUACAGCGUGCCGUGUGAACUGCAUUUUAUGUUCAAAUCAAAUGACUCUUUGAAGUGAUCACUAUAUGUGGCCUUAGAGUAAGAGAAACCGAGGACAGUCCUGUUUUAAAUGUAGUCCUAUUGAAUGUGCAGUCACCACAUGAAAGCUGCAGGAGAUUCGCAUCUUGUGAAGAAAUCGUUAUAUUGCACACAUUGCAAUCUGUCAAAUGUGGUCUGUUUUGCAUUCCUUGUUUUGCUCUGUAAUUUUGUUUUCUUCUGAGAUCGAGCAGACUGAAUUUCAAUAUGAAUGCCAAAUCAUCUCUCUGCACGCCAGAAAGCCAAAUAUUGUUUUUAUCGACCUCAGUUGAGAAUACUGAACUCGCCUGUUACCAUAGUAACAUAUUUAAAAAAUCGUUUCAGUGUUUUAGGUUGAGUUUCUUUAAUGAUGCUGCUGCUUUAGACUUUCUUUCCCAUUCUUCAGUCAGUUGAUCAGUGUGUUUGAGUGCCAGGAUGAAAGAGUGAGCGAGACAGAUGCACAUUGCUUAUGAUGGACAACUGGAAAUGUUCUCCUGGAUCCUGAGACGAGGUUGCUCUACUAAGUUAGUAGGUAAGAUAUGGUCAUUCAUAAUGUAAAUAUUCUGUCUCUGGUCUCUGCACAGCUCAAUAAGUGUGUCACGCUGUAUACAUUUUUGGCAAUUCUGUUCAUUUUUUUUUUCUUUUUUUUUCGUUACUUUCGUUCUCCAGCCUUUUAAAGCAGGGCGGAUUCUGAUCGGCUGCCAAUGUUUUUAUCGUUGUCACCUGGAAGAAAAAAAGUUAUUCCAACAAAAUUGUUCCUCUAUGUCAGGGGUGUCAAACUUAAUUCCUGGAGGCCCGGAGCCCUGCAGAGUUUUGCUCCAACACACAUGCCACGUAGUUUUCAAAUAAGCCUGAAGGACUUGAUUAGUUGGAUCAGGUGUGUUUAAUUAGGGUUGAAUCUAAACACUGCAGGGCUCCGGCCCUCCAAGAAUUGAGUUUGACACCCCUGCUCGAUGUCAUUGUCGUUAGAGUUGUGAUGUAAUGCAUCACUGUUCUCACAGAAUUUGAAACUUUAUUAAAACAUAGGCUAUAGUUAUCAUUCUUGGUGUGAACGGGCCUUUAAUAAUCACAUUAUAGUACAUGAAGUACUCGUUGGCAGCUUUAGAGUGAGAAGUCGUCCUGAUUUGAUAGAGAUUGGUCGAAGCACUUCAUUCUGGAGAGCAGAGAGGAAAACGUGAUGAGCCAACAGGAGGCUCGGAUCAAAGAUGCAAAGUGAUGUGUGUGUGUGGAGCUACAAGGAGAAACAGAGGUCUGGUUCAACAGAACAAGAGGUUCUUAAUAAGCAUUUCCUAAUGAAGAUCGUGAUGUUGUGGUUUGGACUCCAAGAAAAACCUCUAAACCUCUAAGAACAACCAUUUUCACUAUAAGGCUCUUGAGUUGCAUUGGUUCUUGGAAGCAGUGAUGUAACAACGGCUUGAUUAGAGCUCUUCUAAUAUUGUAAAAACAGUAAUAUUCUGAAAAAAGUAUUUUUUGAUAGAAAACUGCACAUCAAGCCAUCUGAUGGUGUCUGCAAGAAGUUUGGAAUACAUUAUUUUCACUUCAUU